rnacentral:rRNA from 1 species
AUACGGAGGGUGCAAGCGUUGUUCGGAAUUAUUGGGCGUAAAGCGGGCGCAGGCGGUCGUAUAAGUCGGAUGUGAAAUCCCUGGGCUCAACCCAGGAACUGCAUUCGAAACUAUACGACUAGAGUCUCGGAGAGGGUGGCGGAAUUCCCGGUGUAGAGGUGAAAUUCGUAGAUAUCGGGAGGAACACCAGUGGCGAAGGCGGCCACCUGGACGAUGACUGACGCUCAGGUCCGAAAGCGUGGGGAGCAAACAGGAUUAGAAACCCUAGUAGUCC